rnacentral:rRNA from 1 species
UACGGAGGGUGCAAGCGUUAUCCGGAUUUACUGGGCGUAAAGCGCGUGUAGGCGGCCACGCAGGUCCGUUGUGAAAACUGAAGGCUUAACCUUCAGACGUCGACGGAAACCGUGUGGCUAGAGUCCGGAAGAGGAGAGUGGAAUUCCUGGUGUAGCGGUGAAAUGCGCAGAUAUCAGGAGGAACACCGGUGGCGAAGGCGGAUCUCUGGGCCUUACCUGACGCUCAGGCGCGAAAGCUAGGGGAGCGAACAGG